AGAAGUAAUAAAGCAAAGCUCGAUUCGAGCAUUUGGCGAUCCAUCGAUUCGUUUGUGUUCGUAAGUUCUCGCUGUAAAAAGUUGAUCGAUCAGUCUAGCUAGUUCUACCGCGCUCACGAACGUAUGUGAAGUAUCUCUGCAUGUGCUUGACUACUGUUCAAGGUGACCGCUAGCUAGCUUGCUAGCUUGUACGUGCGUGUGCUGCUGCUCUCAGGUGAAUUGAUCAAGCGAUCAAAAACCAACGAUUGGUAUCUAGAGCCUCGACGAUUCAUGAUGGGGGACAGCGACGCUGAGUCCGCCAAGUCUGGCAACGGCGGCUCCAAGGCAAACAAGUCUGGCCACAGCGGUUUCAAGAUGAACAAGAACAACGACAAGGUGAAAAAGGGCGGCAAUCAGCGACCAGUGAUGAAGGAACGGGCGGUGCCAACGUAUUGGCACAUCGCAACAUUCCCAUCCAGUACCUGAGAGGCUUUGCCUCCUUUGGCCGGCGCCCCAAGGAGGCUUCCCUCCUUGGUGGCUGCCUCUCUCUCCCCCUCUAACCUAUAUAUAAUUGAGGUAUUGGCCACAAUUGAACACAACUUUUGGAGCCUCCUCUAGUCCCAUAUAGUUCUAGUUCUAGUUGAUCAUAGUUGAUCUACUUAGUGCUAGACCUAGUUUCCUAAUCCUCAUAAUUAGAUGCCCAAUGUGGUUCUAAUCUACCCACUCUAAUUCUCCGACGACAAUUACCUAUAGAUGGCGAAGCACUGCCGACUCGUGAAGGUUGCACGCUUGCAACCAAGUAGAGAGGUCGUUCUUUCGGUCUUUCGUUCGAGGGACUAUUCGUCGGCGGUUCGAGGGGUCGUUCAUCGACGGUUCGAGGGACUCCAAGUACGAUCAUGAUCAUGAUCCCAGCCUGUUAUGCAUCUUCAUAUUGAUGUUGGGUGUGCGUAGGUGGGAUUUUUUUUUCUACUCCAUUCCCAACAUCUCGGAGGGGUUCCUGCCCUCCGGGAGCCAUAGCAUCCAAGGAUCAGAGGGGAAACCCUCCUCCCAUCUAGGGGGGAUGCCAAGGAAGAAAGAGGAGGAGGGGGGGGGGUCUCUCUCCAGCUCUCUCCCGGUGGCGCCGAAGUGUCGCCGGGGGAAUCAUCGUGACAGCGAUCUACACUAGCAACUUCGCCGCUGUCAUCACCAACUCUCUCCCUCUCCUUACAACAGUGUUUCGAUCUCGGCUCCGAACUCUGUCUCCUAGGAGAUUGCUGAGGUAAAUCGGAAGCUCGAGAGAUCCCAGGAGGACCUCAACCAGAUGAACCAGGGGUCUGAGUUGUCUCAAGCAUUGGCCGAGCUUGAGGCGCUCAAGGCUGAGCUCAAAAAAGCUCAGCAGGAGGCAUAGAAGCAGAAGGUUGCGCCCGCGAAGGCAGAGCAGGCCCGAGCUGCCAAGAUUUUGGCCGGGGAAAAAGACCGGGCGUGGGUCAUGGAGAUUGAGGAGACCAUUAAGGGCGUGUUCGAAGCAUGGGACAAACUUCAGGCGGGGAAGAAGCAAGCGGAAGAAUUGAUCAAGAAGCUCCAACUUGCACACUCCGAGCUCCAGACCACCGCCCGGGCUGACCGGAGGUGCCCCAGACAGUGGAGCAAAUCGCCUCGGGUAAGCCAUAUUUAUUGCAGCGCGUGUUUCGCAACAAAGGGUGUGUCGAGCUCACCCUGCUGUGGCGUUCCGCAAAGAUCUUCGUGGAUCUUUCCAACAGUGUGGCGGAUGCCGUCGCACACUUUGACCAGAUGGCGGAUCAUGAGAAGGAGAAGGCAUUUUGGAGGCAGUUCCCAGAAUCACCAUCGGCGCAGCUGCUGAACCAUCGAAUGAAGCAGCUGGUGGAUUUAUUCUACAUGGCAAGGCCAACGCUCCAGGACAUCUGCAUCAAGCUGUGGCCUGCCGAAGCCUUGCCAACCAUCCUCUUCGGACUCCUUGCUCGGCUGCGAAUUGCUGCCCCGUAGGUUGAUUGCUAGAAGCGAUCUGCGUGCUUUGAAGGAGCACGGCGGGCGUAUGCGUGCGUGAAGACGCAAUUCCGAAAGGUGGAUGCGACGAUCGUUGCUGCCGGACCUGCUAAAGGGAAGCAUCGCACCGCGGAAGAAUUCUUUGAGGAGGUAGCAGAGGGUGCCCGGACGACCGAAGUC